GACGAACGCUGGCGGCGUGCCUAACACAUGCAAGUCGAGCGGAGGCAAUUGAGGAGUAAUCUGAGAUUGCCUGAGCGGCGGACGGGUGAGUAACGCGUGAGCAACCUGCCUUUCACAGGGGGAUAACGCAGCGAAAGCUGCACUAAUACCGCAUGAGACCACGGCGGAGAUACCGCAGGGGUCAAAGGAGCAAUCCGGUGAGAGAUGGGCUCGCGUCCGAUUAGGUAGUUGGUGAGGUAAAGGCCCACCAAGCCAAUGAUCGGUAGCCGGCCUGAGAGGGUGAACGGCCACAUUGGAACUGAGAGACGGUCCAAACUCCUACGGGAGGCAGCAGUGGGGAAUAUUGGGCAAUGGGGGAAACCCUGACCCAGCAACGCCGCGUGAGGGAAGAAGGUUUUCGGAUUGUAAACCUCUGUUCUUGGUGAAGAGAAGAAGACGGUAGCCAAGGAGGAAGCCCCGGCUAACUACGUG
rnacentral:rRNA from 1 species